CAGCCGCCGCGGGAAUACGGAGGGUGCAAGCGUUAAUCGGAAUUACUGGGCGUAAAGCGCACGCAGGCGGUCUGACAAGUCAGAUGUGAAAUCCCCGGGCUUAACCUGGGAACUGCAUUUGAAACUGUCAGGCUGGAGUCUUGUAGAGGGGGGUGGAAUUCCAGGUGUAGCGGUGAAAUGCGUAGAGAUCUGGAGGAAUACCGGUGGCGAAGGCGGCCCCCUGGACAAAGACUGACGCUCAGGUGCGAAAGCGUGGGGAGCAAACAGGAUUAGAUACCCCCUAGUCCCUGUCUCUUAUACA
rnacentral:rRNA from 1 species